UACGGGGGGGGCAAGCGUUGUUCGGAAUUACUGGGCGUAAAGGGCUCGUAGGCGGCCAACUAAGUCGGAUGUGAAAUCCCCAGGCUUAACCUGGGAACUGCAUCCGAUACUGGAUGGCUUGAAUCCGGGAGAGGGAUGCAGAAUUCCAGGUGUAGCGGUGAAAUGCGUAGAUAUCUGGAGGAACACCGGUGGCGAAGGCGGCAUCCUGGACCGGUAUUGACGCUGAGGAGCGAAAGCCAGGGGAGCAAACGGG
rnacentral:rRNA from 1 species